GAGGAGCUUGCUCCUCUGACGUUAGCGGCGGACGGGUGAGUAACACGUGGAUAACCUACCUAUAAGACUGGGAUAACUUCGGGAAACCGGAGCUAAUACCGGAUAAUAUAUUGAACCGCAUGGUUCAAUAGUGAAAGACGGUUUUGCUGUCACGUGAUAGAUGGAUCCGCGCCGCAUUAGCUAGUUGGUAAGGUAACGGCUUACCAAGGCAACGAUGCGUAGCCGACCUGAGAGGGUGAUCGGCCACACUGGAACUGAGACACGGUCCAGACUCCUACGGGAGGCAGCAGUAGGGAAUCUUCCGCAAUGGGCGAAAGCCUGACGGAGCAACGCCGCGUGAGUGAUGAAGGUCUUCGGAUCGUAAAACUCUGUUAUUAGGGAAGAA
rnacentral:rRNA from 1 species